rnacentral:rRNA from 1 species
GUGUCAGCAGCCGCGGUAAUACGUAGGUGGCAAGCGUUGUCCGGAUUUACUGGGCGUAAAGAGCGCGCAGGCGGUUGAUUAAGUCGAAUGUGAAAGCCCCCGGCUCAACUGGGGAGGGUCAUUCGAUACUGAUCGACUUGAAGGCAGGAGAGGGAAGUGGAAUUCCGGGUGUAGUGGUGAAAUGCGUAGAUAUCCGGAGGAACACCAGUGGCGAAGGCGACUUCCUGGCCUGUUCUUGACGCUGAGGCGCGAAAGCUGGGGGAGCAAACGGGAUUAGAAACCCCUGUAGUCC